CGAGUGAAGCGGCAAAAGCUCAAAUUUGAAAUCUAGCACCUUCGGUGUUCGAGUUGUAAUUUGAAGAUGGUAACCUUGGGUUUGGCUCUUGUCUAUGUUCCUUGGAACAGGACGUCAUAGAGGGUGAGAAUCCCGUCUGAUGAGAUGCCCAUUCCUAUGUAAGGUGCUAUCGAAGAGUCGAGUUGUUUGGGAAUGCAGCUCUAAGUGGGUGGUAAAUUCCAUCUAAAGCUAAAUAUUGGCGAGAGACCGAUAGCGAACAAGUACAGUGAUGGAAAGAUGAAAAGAACUUUGAAAAGAGAGUGAAAAAGUACGUGAAAUUGUUGAAAGGGAAGGGCAUUAGAUCAGACUUGGUGUUUUACGAUUAUCUUCUCUUCUUGAGUUGUGCACUCGUAUUUCACUGGGCCAGCAUCGAUUCGGAUGGCAAGAUAAUGGCAGUUGAAUGUGGCUUCACUUCGGUGGAGUGUUAUAGCUUCUGCUGAUAUUGCCUGUCUGGAUCGAGGGCUGCGUCUUUUGACUAGGAUGCUGGCGUAAUGAUC
rnacentral:rRNA from 1 species